UCCGUCUUCUCAUCAGCGUGAAAGUCCCUUUUCCAUUGGAUCCCCUAACUAGUUUCUCACUCCAUUGGAAGGAAAAGGAGACCAAGAGAUUGGGGACUCCUGUUAUCAUUGGCUUGAGUGCAGCACCUUUUGUUGAUAUGCUUCUCUGAUAGCAGCAGCCCCUAAAGCUGCUCUGGAGAAGGGCAAGAGAUAAGAGGAACUGGAAUUUGAGAAGAGGAUGGGUAGCCAGGAUGGGCAGGUUACCCCCCUCACCGUGAGGCCUCCCUCCUCGUCGCCGGGUCUCCUCAGUCUCGAAAUGUGUCUAGGUGGACCUGGGCUGAAGGGCCUGAGAGGGAAUGCUCUUGAAGGAUCUCAGAUUCAGGUUUCUGGAGGGAUCUUCU